rnacentral:rRNA from 1 species
UGGGGAAUAUUGCACAAUGGGGGAAACCCUGAUGCAGCGACGCCGCGUGAAGGAAGAAGUAUCUCGGUAUGUAAACUUCUAUCAGCAGGGAAGAUAGUGACGGUAAUUACUUAGAAAGUCACGGCUAACUACGUGCC